rnacentral:misc_RNA from 1 species
UACAGAGGUUGCAAGCGUUAUUCGGAAUCACUGGGCUUAAAGCGCGUGUAGGCGGAUGGCCGCGUCGGUCGCUGAAAGCCCCCGGCUCAACCGGGGGACGGGCGCCGAAACGGGCCGUCUGGAGGGGCGUAGGGGGAGCUGGAACUCACGGUGGAGCGGUGAUAUGCGUUGAGAUCGUGAGGAACGCCCGCGGCGAAAGCGAGCUCCUGGACGCCUGCUGACGCUGAGACGCGAAAGCCAGGGGAGCGAACGGG